GUCAUAUAUGAAAAUGAUGUCAAAACAAUAAAUCACAAAAUAGAAGAUCAGAUGAUGCCAUCAGAAUCCAAACAAAAGGAUGAAGAAGAAAAUUCUUGGGAUUUAGAGAGUGUCCAUGAGACUGUUUCACAGAAGGAUGUGUGUUUACCCAAGGCUACACCUCAAAAAGAAUUCCAUACGAUAAGUGGAAAAUCAGAAGAUCAGAUGAUCCCAUCAGAAUCCAAACAAAAGGA
rnacentral:lncRNA from 1 species